UACGGAGGGUGCAAGCGGUGUUCGGAAUUACUGGGCGUAAAGAGCGUGUAGGCGGCUGACCAAGUCCGGUGUGAAAGCCCGGGGCUUACCCCCGGAAGUGCGCCGGAAACUGGUCGGCUAGAGUAUGGGAGAGGGAAGUGGAAUUCCUGGUGUAGCGGUGAAAUGCGUAGAUAUCAGGAGGAACACCGGCGGCGAAGGCGGCUUCCUGGACCAAUACUGACGCUGAGACGCGAAAGCGUGGGGAGCAAACAGG
rnacentral:rRNA from 1 species